rnacentral:lncRNA from 1 species
AUACCACAACUCCCUUUACCAGAUGCAUUCACCACAACUAAACACACCCCUGUCAACCUCUACCGGCAAACCACACCACCGGCGCCCCCUCUAAUCCCCUUCAUCUAUCAACCGACGUCUCAACCUCUUCUCUCUAUUUCAUCCCCUUUACAAAAAAUACCACUAGUCGAUAGACCCCAACGGUCUCUUUGCCUCUUUAUUCUCCUCUCUAACUAGCUGUUACUUCGAUAAACAACCACCGCAUCCAUCAUGUUGCCGACCAGUCUCGAAUUCAUAUACAUAUCUUGAACCAGAUCUCAAAUUGCUCAACUAUUAUAAUCUGGUACAUAG